rnacentral:lncRNA from 1 species
AUGAAAUUGAUGGUAUCCAUCAUUUAUGUUGUUAAAUCUACUUAGUGUAUGUGUAUAUGGUUGGUGUAAUAACAUUUUUCCAAUUUAAUUUAAUAGAUGACAUCGUUGAUAUGGAUACAGCACAGCAACUUCCUAAUGUUUCCACUCUGCAAGACAAUGAAGACAUGUUGGCUUCUGCAACUUGUGGAUUGCCUCACCUCCCUGAGACCACAGCUCAAGGUUCCCGUGUUUCAUGAAGGCGGUGUGUGAAGAAACCAUGGACUGAGAAGGAGAUACAAGCUGUGAUGAAAUGGUUUAGGUCACGCAGGUUGGCGGUUGGUUCAGGACAUGAAAAUGUCCAUAAUACUAGUGAGCAAGGAUGCAAAGAUAGUUGCUGGUGGGGUUGAGUUCGUCCUUGUGGAUGCAAGCACUGCUUUUGUGUUGUGCUUGUAGGUUUUUGUCACUUCUAAAUUAUUUUGCUUGCAGGCAGGUUUUUGUUUGUACUGCUUUAUAAUUAGCCUGGAC